rnacentral:lncRNA from 1 species
UAUUCGUAUUUAUUCUAAAAAUUUAUUUAAAGUCAAUUUUUUGUUGUUAUAACUAAAGGGUAUAAUAGUUAAAAAAAAAAAAAGCAAAAAUCUAUGUUAUUAUUUAAGAAAUUAAGAAAUUUUUGUGAACAUUGAGGUGGUGGCUGACGUUUUCCUUAUGUAAAGACUUACUAUUAAUUUCGUUAUACAAAGACCAUUGAGUUGUUGUGUAAGCAUAGCGGCAAUUUCCUUGAAGGUAAUGAAAUGAACAUGGUCAAAGAAUCUGAGUGAAGGUGCAAUAAUUAAUCCUUGUAGCUACGUUUAUAGCAUGAUGUGCUCACAUGCAACCCUCUCCAAAUUAAGCAUAAUUAAUUAAGAGGUUUUAAAUAGAUUCCGACCCACUUCAAAUUAAUUAAAGCUAUUUUAAAGUGCAUUGCCCAUAGCCUCUCCUCUUAGCUUUAUGCCUUUAUUGCAACAGUGAAUGAUGAGGAGUCUAAAGUUGAUUACUCGAUCGCCACGAAGGAGUCAUUAUCUAGUACUGAUACCCGCACAAAAUUUUAAGUUCAUUGUAAUGUUGAUAAAGGCUUAUACAAUAUAAUAAAGGUGUUUUCCAAUGUUAUAUGAAAGUCGUGUCAGUAUUUCAUGAAAUGCAAAUGUUGGUAUAUUUUGGACACAAAUUGUCUGUAAUGAAAACUGAAACAAAAUAAAAAUAGAAAAGAUAGAGAUAGGUAAAUUUGAGGAAAUUUAGAUCUCCUAAAGAUGUUAUUGGUGCUUUAAAGGACCAACACCACUAAUAGAUAACCAUAGUUGUCAAUCAAUACUGUAGAGUUGUUAUUGAUGAUGAUAGUGCUAGUUUAAAUAAUUGGUUAACUUUCAUAUGAAACUUAAACCUAAUUAAAGAAUAGGAGUAAAAUAAUCCAAUUCUUAAGAUCAAGAAACACUGAUAACUAACACAAAUAUUAAGCCGAAGUACACAUAACAACUAAAACGAGAAAUAUAAAUUAAAAAAAAAAUCUAAGAAAUAAUUUGAAUAAUCAUAUCACCGCACCUGAGAAUUUUUCCAUCACUGAGUAAACAAACCUAUACGAGAGAGCUUCUUAUAAAUUGGCAAAACCACUUACCGUGGGUUCUUUUUUAUCUGCGCCGAAAGUAUGGUUCAAUUGGCGAGUCACCCCACGUGAAAUUAAAGCUAAAUGAUAGUGCUCAUAUUAUUUAAUUAUUAUAUCUGAGAGAGCAUUUGUUCAAGGAUCGAAUAAAGGAACAUCAAUUGUUCUUAAUUCUUUAUUUCUGUCACCCCACCUUAAUUAGGAUUGAAGUAAGCACAUCAGGAAGGAUCUAUAUAUACUGGCAUACCAUGGAAUGUUAAUUACUAGUUAAUUAAGGAUAAGUCUUCUCAAACGAAAACAGAAUCUGGUGGUGACCAACACUAUUCAAAUAUUCUUUCUACAAGUUCUUCAAGUUACAUAUCUUCAGUUACACUCAGGUUAUUGUUCGACCAUCACUGAAAGCGUCAAAUUUGUUUGUGUCAAUAUGUACCUAGCUACAUAGAUUGAUAAUUUUGUGAGGACAUCUACAUUACCAUAUGCUUUUUUUUUCUUUUUUCUUUAAUUUUUGGGUAAAUUGUCUUCCUCUUAAUGAAAAUUUUAUGGGGCAUAUAAAUAUAGUGCUUACCUACUUCAGGAUUUUGGAAUAGAUAAUUUUUAAUAUAUAUACAAAUAAUUUCUGAACUUACUAUCCUUGUUGAAUAUAAUCAACUGAUACUUUAAAUCAAUUCAAAGUUAUUAACUUUUAGUACAAUUUUGCUUGAUAUAGAUGUAGUAAGAGAGUUAUGCAUGAACUUUUAUUAAUUUAUGCAUCAUUAACACUGCUUAAAAUUAAAGGGGUAUUACUAUUGUUGUAAGGAAGAAGCUUUUGUGUAUGGAGGCAAGCGAUGUCAAUUCAAUGCAUCAUUCAGAUAUAGAAUAUGGAUCAUCUUCAAUCACAACUUUAGAAGUACAUAAUUCGACACAAGCCCCAGAGUCAAAUGCAGGUAAUUAAGCUCCUCGUCUCUCUCUCCCCCCUAUAUAUUUGAGUAACAAUGUUAAAAAGUUGUAAAUGUGUGAAAAAGACAACUCAUGAUGGCUGUAAACAAGAUCUAGAACUAAAAGCUGAUUAUAUACAUACUUCUAUAUUGAGUUUCUAAAAAGAAAUCUCGCAAUUAAAAAAAAAAUGGAAUAGAUUUUUUACAAUGCUAUAAAUAGUUUAUUUUUUGUAAAAGAUCAUCUCGCAUUUCAUUAAAGUACUGAAUCCUUAUCUAAUAAGUUCUCUCUCUAUGCAUAUAUAUAAGAGAAUGAAUGUAAAAAAUAAUAAUAAUAAUAACAAUGGAGAAUUUUUUUAGUAAUGGAAACAUAAUUAACAUGAUUAGUCAAAGAAAAAAAUUGCUAUAUUUACUUACAAGGAGUAAGUUUACUAUAUACUUUGAUGCAACGUGUUCCAUGGACCCCCUGCAGCAAAUCUUUCGGCGGCAAAAAGAUAAAUUGAUGUAUGGUGAUAGAUUAAUACGGAUAUUUUCAAAACUUUGUUGGUUAUAAGAGCACCGAAAUAAAAAUUCUCGCUGAUUAUAAGAGUAUCCACGAAUUUAGGCAAUUAAGUCUCCUUAAUUCACAUAA